rnacentral:rRNA from 1 species
CCUACGGGAGGCAGCAGUGGGGAAUAUUGGGCAAUGGGCGCAAGCCUGACCCAGCAACGCCGCGUGAAGGAAGAAGGCUUUCGGGUUGUAAACUUCUUUUAAGAGGGAAGAGCAGAAGACGGUACCUCUUGAAUAAGCCACGGCUAACUACGUGCCAGCAGCCGCGGUAAUACGUAGGUGGCAAGCGUUGUCCGGAUUUACUGGGUGUAAAGGGCGUGCAGCCGGGAAGACAAGUCAGAUGUGAAAUCCCGGGGCUCAACCGCGGAACUGCAUUUGAAACUGUUUGUCUUGAGUAGCGGAGAGGUCAUCGGAAUUCCUUGUGUAGCGGUGAAAUGCGUAGAUAUAAGGAAGAACACCAGUGGCGAAGGCGGAUGACUGGACGGCAACUGACGGUGAGGCGCGAAAGCGUGGGGAGCAAACAGGAUUAGAUACCCGAGUAGUC